UGUGGCUGAUCAGAUGAAUUGUAGA
rnacentral:piRNA from 1 species